CCUACGGGGGCAGCAGUGGGGAAUAUUGGACAAUGGGCGAAAGCCUGAUCCAGCCAUGCCGCGUGUGUGAAGAAGGCCUUCGGGUUGUAAAGCACUUUCAGUGGGGAAGAAAGCCUUGGGGCUAAUACCCUCGAGGAAGGACAUCACCCACAGAAGAAGCACCGGCUAACUCCGUGCCAGCAGCCGCGGUAAUACGGAGGGUGCGAGCGUUAAUUGGAAUUACUGGGCGUAAAGCGCGCGUAGGCGGUCUGAUAAGCCGGUUGUGAAAGCCCCGGGCUCAACCUGGGAACGGCAUCCGGAACUGUCAGGCUAGAGUGCAGGAGAGGAAGGUAGAAUUCCCGGUGUAGCGGUGAAAUGCGUAGAGAUCGGGAGGAAUACCAGUGGCGAAGGCGGCCUUCUGGACUGACACUGACGCUGAGGUGCGAAAGCGUGGGUAGCAAACAGGAUUAGAUACCCUUGUAGUC
rnacentral:rRNA from 1 species